GGGGCAAUGCUUGUGGAGGAUGUCCGAGCCAAGAGAAGUGUUUUGGUGGAGAGGACACCCAAGAGUAGAAAAGCUUUCCAAUGGUUAGAGUGUUGUUUCCGACCUCCAUGAGUUUUUGAGGUAUCGUCGAGCUCUAGACGUUAAAUUAAGCACUUGUUGGGAGGUAACCCAACCGUUUUUGUUUUGUUUCUCUUUCUUUUAGUUUCGUUUUGUUUCUUUUUGUUUUGUUGUUUUGUUUGGAGUUUUUAGUGCAGUGUUGAGCUUGGAAGAUGAGGGAACUCGCGCUUUGUUCAUACCACCACCAUGGAGCAUGUUUUUCUGUGAGUAGUGACACACAUAUCAUCAUCCCUCCAAACUUAUUUUCGAACUUAUGUUCUGUAAUAAGUUUGGGGGAGGGGGGUGAGAGUAGAUAUGUGUAUCACUUUUAUCUUUUUGUUAGCUUUAUUGUUUUAUCCUGCUUGGUUGGUGGUGUGUGAUUUUUUUUUAGUUAAUUGUUGC
rnacentral:lncRNA from 1 species